UACAGAGGUCCCAAGCGUUGUUCGGAUUCACUGGGCGUAAAGGGUGCGCGUAGGCGGCCUGAUAAGUAGGGGGUGAAAUCCCCCGGCUUAACCUGGGAACUGCGUCUGAUACUGGAAGGCUUGAGUAUGGGAGAGGGAUGUAGAAUUCCAGGUGUAGCGGUGAAAUGCGUAGAUAUCUGGAGGAAUACCGGUGGCGAAGGCGGCAUCCUGGACCAUUACUGACGCUGAGGCACGAGAGCAUGGGUAGCGAACAGG
rnacentral:rRNA from 1 species